rnacentral:rRNA from 1 species
GAUGAACGCUGGCGGCGUGCCUAAUACAUGCAAGUCGAGCGAACAGACGAGGAGCUUGCUCCUCUGACGUUAGCGGCGGACGGGUGAGUAACACGUGGAUAACCUACCUAUAAGACUGGGAUAACUUCGGGAAACCGGAGCUAAUACCGGAUAAUAUAUUGAACCGCAUGGUUCAAUAGUGAAAGACGGUUUUGCUGUCACUUAUAGAUGGAUCCGCGCCGCUUUAGCUAGUUGGUAAGGUAACGGUUUACCAAGGCAACGAUGCGUAGCCGACCUGGGAGGGGGAUCGGCCACACUGGAAGGGGAACACGGUCCAGACUCCUACGGGAGGCCGCAGUAGGGAAUCUUCGGCAGUAGGCGAAAGCAUGGCGGAGCAACGCGGCGUGAGUGGUGAAGGCCUUGGGAUCGGAAAACUGUGUUAUUAGGGAAGAACAAAUGUGUAAGUAACUAUGCACGUCUUGACGGUACCUAAUCAGAAAGCCACGGCUAACUACGUG